AGUUUUAUCUGUGGGUAAUGGUUUCUGUGUUCUUGAGUACUCUUUGUAUUUUUUAGCCCAAUCUAGGCAGGAAAUCCUCAAAAGGGACUAAAUGCAUUAGCAUGAGAAUCAAAUCUAUUCUCAGCUGAAAGAAUAUCUCCUGUUUGCAUGGACUGUCACAUGUUGCCAAGGGUUACAGUCUACAGCAACAAAUGAAAGGAGGGAAGCCUGCUUUUGAGCACGUACAAUAUCCCUUUUCAGUUUUUUUUUUAUUAAGUUAUGCCUCGUUAACAAUGUUCUUUGAGCAAAUGCUUCGGCUCAAUAUGUGUAUGUGAAUGGAAUUCUCCGUGCUGUUGGGAGAUCUCUUGUGUGGCUCAGAGUUCUGGGUGAAUAAGGGCUCCCGCCCGGGAGGAUAAUCCUAGUUGCUUCAGAAAACUCUGCGGGCCCUCUGGACCCACGUGGCCUUCUUCACUGUUGCCUGCCCUGGAGCCAAGAGCAUGGGAGAGUCAAGCCAAUUGCCCCGGUGGGAUGAGGCUGUCAGAGGAGGCUGCUGUGGACACCUUGAGAGGCUGGACAGCCUGCACUAGGAUCCUGGGACUUAGGUAAAGGCUAUGCUUGCUAAAGAUCCUCUGGAACUACCUCCACCUGCCAUGAGACUAACUCUCUGUCCUAAAAAAUAGAGUGCAAAGAAAGUGCUCUAAAGGAUAUAACUGCAUGUAUACUUAAGGGUAUAAGAUAGAUAACCAUAUUACUGAAUUUUUGUUGGAUCAUUGAACAGAACUGUUUGCAGUCUCACUGUUUGAAUGCCCACUUUGUAUGCUUUAAUUUUGUAACUUAAACAACUAUUUCUAAGAUGACAAUAUGUAGUCUAUUAACAGUGAUUUCUUACUGCUUAUUUUUUUUGAAAUUUUGUAUUACUUGUACCCUUUUUCUGUUUUUUUUUUCUUUUUCUCUUUAAAUAAAAUUUAAAAAUAUAUAUAAUGCAAAAAGGGACACAAGUCCCAGGAAGUGGACAGUAUUUACCUUUUAGCAAUGAGUGAGAGAUCAGGGACGUGGUCUUUGGGCUAUAGAAUGUCAAACCUCCCUCCCCUACCAUCCCAGGCUUGGAGAGGACCACACUGGACUGGAGAGCAGAAGUCCUCCCUGCUGGCCUGCGCUUUCCGCUCCACUAAACUCUGCCUGCCUGCCAGUAACCGGCUGUGUCAGGACCUUGCCAUUUGUACUCUACAGAGAUCUGGGCACAGCACCUAGGAUGUUCAGAGGCAUGUGGUCUAAAACCCUAAAACUCAGGCAGAUUGCAAAGGCCACAUCUCUAUUUCUAGGUUGUUUUUAACUUACGCUUUUGAGAAGGGAAUGAAAGAAUCCUAUUUUUAUAUCAUGAUAACAAAAUGAGCUAAUAUUUUGGGUGUUUUUUGGAGGUAAUUUUUCUAAAGUGCUCUUAGUACUUUUUAGGAGAUUAAGUAGAUGCACGGUUAUUAUCCGCAAUGUGGAGAAUCAUCUGCAAAACGUGAGCCUCUUCUCUUUAGGACUGAGGAGCGAAUUUCCCUUUAUAGAUCCCUCAGGAAACAUGCAGUCUAGGCCAAAUCAAUAUAUUUAUGAGAAUCUGUUCAGUGCCUUUGUCAUCUAGAUAGUAGCAGGAAAACAAAGGGGCAGAGAAAGUUUCUACACUCCCUAAAACAGGUUCAUCCUUAGGGACUUGGCUAUAGUAGUGUCAAUAUUUCUACUGCACUUGGUAUUCAACUCAGAAUAAAGGAACGUCCAUGCAACAGUAGCUGAAACAGUUUUGAUUUUCUUUGUGUGAAAAGAAACCUGCAGGUGGAUUGCUGCAGACCUCAAUCCAUUGGCACGGCUUUGGUUUUUCUCUUGAGGUCACAGAAUGAAGGCUGCAGCUCCACAUGGCCAUUGAGUUCAAGGCAGAAAUCAGGGGGAAGGUAAAAGGCUAGCUGUGUCAGAAAAAGAAACACUUUUAUCAGAAACCUCAGAGACUUAUAGUUAAGUUUAUGAAGCGUUGUUACAUUUAAUUGCAAAGAAAGCUAGGACUAUGAAAACUUGUCUGGAGAAAUGAAAAGAAGGUUAACCACGGUCACAGAACCUGCUCCUGGUCUAUUUCUUCUUCAGGUUCAGCUAGCACCUCCCUGCACCAAUGCUGUCAAUGUAGUGCAGAUGCUGGUGACAGCAUCCUCAACCCAUGGUGCUGGAUGUAGCACCACAGGGCUCAGGGUAAAGGGGGUCCUGGGAAGGGGUCUCAGAGCUGUGCCCUGUGUGCUGUGUUGCUGCGCGCCCAGCAUGGAGCCUGGUGCACCAGAGGAUGCAUUCCCACUGCAGGGCAAGGCUGCACCAGGCAUGGUCACUUGGGUGGGAACACAGUGAACCUUGGGAUGUGGUUAUCUUCGUAGCAGUUUCUUGGAAGCUGAGUUGGAGAAUAUGGGCAGAAUCACAUUGAGCAAAUGUCACAAGAAAAGUAAACCAGAUGGAGGUAAAAGAUGCUGAGGGCAGAGAGGCUGCUUCUGACAGGUGGGGUCAGGGAAAGCCCUGGAGGAGGUGACAUGAGCUACAGUUGGGUGACAUGAGCACCAAAUGGUUGCUAUUUUGGGGUUCAUCAUCUGCAGUUCUGUGCUCAUCACUUCUAAGUCUCUGUCUCCUUUCAGGUUUGCCUAGGGAAAGAGUUCUAUUUCCACAGUGCUGUCACUUAGAAAAGAUGUCUUUCAUUGGAACACACUUCUGUGUUCAUAAUUAAACUAUGAUAGAAUUCUCCCUACAACAAAUUUCAUUACCAUAUAAUUUAUACAGAGGGAAAUGAGCCUUUCUGAUACACAACUCCACAGAUUUGAUAUGUGUAACCAUUGCCACACUCAAAACAUAGAAUAGUUCUGUCAUUCAAGAUGAAUGCCUUGUGGUCUUUUGUGACUAUCAUACAUCCCCACCCCAACCUAUAGCAGCCAUUGUGAUUUCUGUUGUUAGAAUUUUACUUUUUUAAUAAUAUCAUGUAGGGACUUGGGAUUUAGCUCAGCAGCCAUAAGCUCCUGCCUUACAAGCGUGAGGUUGUGAGUUCAAUCCCCAGUACAAAAAAAAAAAAAUCAGAAUCACAAGAAUAUCAUGUAAAUGAAAUCAUUCUAAUAAGUAGCAUGCUCAGGUUGGCUCCACUUCAUGUGUUUGGCUUUCAUGAUGUGCAUAUCUUUCAUGAUGUAUGUAUCGUGAUGCUGCAUGCAAGCUUAUUCGUUUUUCAUUGCUGAGCAGUAUCCCAUCAUAUGAGUGACCCACAGUUUGUCUAUCCAUUUCCCAGACCAGAGAUGUCUUGCUUUUUCUUCCCAGUUUUUAACUAUUUCAAAUGAAGUCAUUAUAUAUAUACUGGCACAAAAGACAUUUGUGCAGACAACAUGUUUCAUUUUCCUUGGGCAGGCAAAUACCUAGAGAUAGGAUUUUUAGAUAAAUACAUGUGCAACUUUAUAAGAAAAUGUCAAGACAUUUUCCAUAAUAUCUUAACCACCUUGCAUUUACAUCUAUGUUGGUCACUCCACAUCUUACCAGUCUUUGGCACUGUUGGUGCAUUUCAAUGAGAGUGAUUCUGCUAAAUAGGGAAUGUGUUGCACAGUGGUUUCUUUUUCAUCUUUCUAAUGUCUAAUAAUAUCAAGGGUCUUUUCAUGUGUUUGUUUGCUACCUGUGAAUCUCCUGUCUUUGUAGAUCUGUUCAAAUCCUUGCACUUCUUCUUAAUGGAGUUGUUUUCUUUUUACUGAACUUUAAGUAUUUUCUCUAUUUUCAGCUACAAGUCCUUUCUUACAUACAUGAUUUCUAAAUAUUUUCCCAUAGUACAAGACUUAUCUUUGUAUUCUUUUCAUAGCAUCUUUCAAAAAAAAGUAAUCCUUAAUUUUAAUGAAUCUAAUUAGUUUAUUAAAAUUUUCUCCUCUGGGUGUAAGAAAUCUUUACCUAACCCAAGGUCACAGAGGGGUUUUGCUAUAUGUUUUCUAAUAUUUCAUACUAGGCUUUAUACUUAGAUUUACAGUCCCUUUGGAACUGACAUGUAUGGGCUAUGACUGGAAGUGGCUUCGCUUCUUACAGCUGACUACCUGUUCCAACAACAUUUUCUCCUUUUCUCCAUUGAAUUAAUUUUGACCUUUGUCAAGAACCUAUCACUAUAGUAGGCCUAUUUGUAGAAUCUCUCUUUUUUUAUUAAUCUGGAUGCUCCCUUUAAUAUCACAUCAUGUAACUUGAGGUCUGUUAACCAGAUAGUAUAACUUCUCUCACUUUCUUCUUUUGCAGAAUUAUUGUGGCAUUUAAUUUCCUUUUUCCCCCAUGUAACUUUAGAAUCUGUUUGUCAAUAUGAAUCUUUGCCUCAUUUCUUCCUCUGCUUCCUCCAACCUCCUACGAUCCCCAGACAGGCACUUGAUCCUACCAAGGGAGUUCCUGUGAUUAGACCUGAGGAAUCUCUCUAAGAUAAUAAUUUUGAAUGCUUAACAUUUUUCUGCUAGUAGAAUGUCAAAUAUUUCUUCUUUCUUCAAGGAAGAGCAUUCUUAAUAUUUAGUUCAAUUGUUCACUUGUUUUCUUUUUAAACUCUGUAGCUCAUCCUCCUAAAUACCCACCUACUUGUCUUCUUUGUAGGCCAUUUAGGUUUCUGUGAAGAAAUCCUUCCUUUCCAUUCAUUCCUUCCUCCCCUGAGCCCCAACUUUUCUUCAUUUCUCUAAUUGACAGUCUUUUGCUCUCAUAUUGAUACCCUAAGCGUCUGACAUGUCUGUUUCCACAGUAGAUAGAGUCACAUACGGGCAGCAUACGUAUUCCAUCCCUGUCUGCACCCCCAGUUUUUCUCAACAUAGCAGGGUGAGGGGGUACUAAUCACAACCAGAAGCAGUGGCUUAAAAAAUUGUGUUCUGAUCCUGAUCACUAUGCCUUGACUUAUCUUUAAAUAUUUUUAUUUUAAAAUACGAAUUGCAUGAAAGUGAGAAAUAUUUUUGUUUUUCUACAGUUGUUAGGCUGUGAUCUUUUAAUAACAUUUAUUUAAUUACUGCAUCAGUUUACCAGUCCUUUAUGAUAUAAUUCAUCCUCUUUGGAUCCCUAGUGUUAUGCAAGCCAGAGAGCAGAGGACGCCUUACAGGCCCAAACACUUGCAUGAGUAUCUGGAGUAGUUAGCAGCACCCUUCCGUGACUGCCUGGCUGAGAGCUGCAGGGACAGGCUGACCCUCCCUCCACAGGCGGCCUCUGUACUAUACUCCCUCAGAAGCUCAAAGGAACCAUGAUUUACACUCAGGCCCCAGGGCACACAUCUGGGAAGCAGUGCUGGAAGGCGCCAAUCUACAAAUAGGCCUACUGUAGACACUGUACCUACCUCAACACCCACGAGGGUGCAGAAUGGUAACAGGGCCUGCCCUGUGGACCCAGGCAGCGUGGAAAGACAAAUACAAAGGAUUGGAUGUGUCCACUGUCAUCCUGAAGUCAGCAGUAGUCAACAUGACCAGCAGGGUGUUGGGAAUCUUUUCAAAUCAAGACACUGAAAAUUCAAACUGAAUGCCUGGUGAAGAAGGAUUAAGACAUCAUCCACCAGGCUCCAUUUCCAUAAACUUAUUGAGACCUUAAAAAUAAACUUGCUAUACAGGUUAUUUCUUCAGAUGUUCUUUCAUUCAGAAAGCAUUUCGGGAUCAGUGUGGUUACCCACUGGGCACUACAAUGGGGGAAGCAGUUCCCAGGUGGCCCUAACACGGGUCCCCAUUUAUGUGUGCACACAGAGGGAUGCCAGGGGCUUGGGGAGCAUGGAGAGAGAGAUGGUGCUGGAUACUGGGUCUCUUGAAAGCUGUCACAGAGGGUCCCAGAGUGUUAGAAAGCAAAGGUGUGAGGCAGGGCCCAUCUAGCAAAAGAUUCAUUUCCCUGGGCAACGGUGAGACAUCUGAUGUGAGUCGGCACAGGAGGGAGAGGAAGAGCCGGCGAGGGGCUGGAGUCAGAUGCGGAAGGCCACUGGGCAGGAAGAAGAAUGGGUGUGUUUUCAUCCUGCAGAGGAUGAAGGUCAGACACAGCUCUGAAGCAGGACAAUAUGUUGCCCAUUCUGGGCACAGCUCGCAAGUCCAUCAAGAGACUCACACUUGCCAGUGGCUUCAUGUCAAAGUCAUGAGUCAUUUCAGCCUACGGCCAAUGAGAGGAGGUGUGUAGUCUUCCCCUGGGGAACAUUGCUUGCUCCUAAAGACCCGGAUAUGAGCUGACCUGUUUUCACAUGCCAUGAUAGACAAAUAAACCUUGGUAUAUUAAA